rnacentral:rRNA from 1 species
GACGAACGCUGGCGGCGUGCUUAACACAUGCAAGUCGAACGGAAAGGCCCCCAUCUUGGUGGGGGUGCUCGAGUGGCGAACGGGUGAGUAACACGUGGGUGAUCUGCCCUGUACUUCGGGAUAAGCUUGGGAAACUGGGUCUAAUACCGGAUAGGACCAUGGUUUAGUGUCUCAUGGUGGAAAGAUUAUUGUUUUGGUGCAGGAUGAGCUCGCGGCCUAUCAGCUUGUUGGUGGGGUAAUGGCCUACCAAGGCGUCGACGGGUAGCCGGCCUGCGAGGGUGGCCGGCCACAUUGUGACAGAGAUACGGCCCAGACUCCUACGGGAGGCAGCAGUGGGGAAUAGUGCAGAAUGGGCGCAAGCCUGAUGCAGCGACGCCGCGUGGUGGAUGACGGCCUUCGGGUUGUAAACUCCUUUCGUUAGGGACGAAGCCGCACUUUUUUUGGCUGUGGUGACGGUACCUUUGUUAAGAAGCACCGGCUAACUACGUG